CAGUUGCCUUUUUACUAGAAAGUUUAAUAAAAAUAUUAAAAUCGUUUAAUCUAUUUCCAAACAUUUCAUUAUAGAUUCUACAGAUAAAAAAAAAUUAUAGGUUUAAGUUUUUUGGAGCAGACUUUAUUAUAAGACUGGCAGUUCUGCACCAUCUGUUGUUAAAUAUAGACAUAAUCCUUUAAAUGCUUAUUAGAUUACUGGAAGUGUGGAAGAUUCUCGAAGUUUUAGAUAUUGAUAAAGUAAACUUGAUUUUAAGGAAUGUCGUUAAGUCAUUUUGACGAGAAAAGAAAUGUUGUGACGGUUUCUACGCCGUGGGGGAAGUGGUGGCAGACUGUAGGAGAAGUAUUCUUAGAAGUGGAUGUCGAAGAAGGAACUUUACCAAAGCAGAUACAAAUACAAAUCAAACCAAAUUCCAUUAGCUGCAAAGUGAAGGAUAAACAAAUUUUUGAAGGUAAACUUCGUCGUACUGUAAGAGCAGAAGAGAGUACAUGGGUACUUGAAGAAAGAAAGCGUAUCUCAAUAUUAUUAGUAAAAUCAGAUCCUCCAAACACUGAACAUAUAUGGCAAUCUUUGCUUGUUGGUCAAUAUGCUCCUAAUUCAUCGGAAUUUGUUGAAAUGCAAAAACAGUUGGACCUUGAAAGGUUUCAAAUAGAAAGUUCCACGAUAAAAAAUAAGUUGGAAACUGCUGAAAUAAGGCAAACAAAACAAGAUCAUCUGCAUUUAAAGAAGUGAUUAAUUUUUACUUUUUAUGACAAAUGGAUUGCAAUUAAAUUGAAAAGGAAAAACUCAAAAUAAUAACAAACUCAGUUCUUAAACAGUAAUUUUUAUAAUACAGAUGUACCUCGUACUUCAAAUGAUCCAGAGUUUGAAUGCUAAAUUCAAUCUAGAGUUCAAAUGAUGCUUUACAUUUGAACUAUGUGCACAGUGAAAAAAUAAGCUUUCUAAAUAAAUGUCAUCUGUGGUGUGCCUAAGUACUCUCGCUGUGAAAGCAUCUCUUGUUUUAUGUUUGUGUUUUCGGUGCUUCUUUUCACUUUAUUUUUGGUGUGUUUUGUUAUAUAUAUAGCCAUGGCAUCCAAGAAGUGUGUGGAAGCAAUGAAGCCUAAGAGGAUGGUUGUAGCAUUGAUGAUUAAAAUUAAAAAGGAACUUGUCAUGAAGCAAAGUGGUACUUCUGUGGUGGAUCUGGUGGCCAUGUUUAACCCUGGGGUAGUGCAGUGGGGUGUUUCACCCCCAACGUUUUAGAAGUUGCACUAUUCAUAGAUUUCGCAAGAAAUAUUUGUGUCCUCUUCAGUAGCUUCAUCAUUUUAUGUAUAGAGCAUGCUCAGAAAUUACUACGAUGCUGCAGAAAUUCCAAUAAAAGAAAAACAACAGUUCUCAGUGGGGUGUCCAAACACCCCACAGUAUUAAUUACGUUUUUUUUUAAAUUUUACAAAUAUUUAUUUAGUUUUUUUUAUUUUUCAAAUAACUAUAAUGUGACCACAUUUAUUAUUUAUAAUAUAGAUAUAAUAAUCAAUGUGAAUAAAAAUAAUUUAAGUUUAUUUUAAUUCAAAAUGGCUGACUUUCAUAAACACAUUGAGAAAAUACCAAACAUAGCAAGUUGCUUGUCAUUUGCACUGAGUGCCAAAGUACAAUGUCAGCUAUUGAAUCAGAGUGACAAAAAUGCUUAAAAAACAAUUUAGAUUUUUACUAUUGGUUUAAUAAUAAGAUCUAAUGUAAUGAGUUUUGAUAAAUGUUGUUUUUUAUUUUCGUGGAUUUAUGUACUAAUAUAAUAUGUAAUCAUACCUGAAUAUAAUCAUAUGUAUAAUGACACAUGCCUUUACCAAAUAAAUGAGUAAAUCUUUAUGAAUUUUUACUUACAUGGUUUAUGGACCCAAAAAAAUGUUGGGGUGGACAAACGCCCCACUGCACUAAUGCCGAAAAAAAACUCAGUGCACUAACGCAGGGUUAAGAUACUGAAGUCAAAGACAUGCAAUCAAUAAAUUUUGUUAUAUAGUACUUUAUUGUUCUCAUGUUAUUAUUUAAGGCAUUUAAUUAUUUUUACCUUAAAUUAUGUGUAUUUACUGUUUAAGUUUAUUAAAUUGGGUAUUUUUUAGGGUCUGGAAAUGGAUUUUCACUUUCCAUUAUAGUAUUUCUAAUGGGAAAAUUGAUUCAGACUUUGAACAAUUCAGAUGUUCAAAGUCCAAAUCAAUCUGAGUUCAGUUCAACUGGCUUCCUGAAACAAAUUAAAUUUGAAAAUCCAGGGUUUGACUUCAGUUCAGCUAAUUUAUCAAAAUGUUAUGAUAAAUCUCCAGAACAACCCACUGAUGAAGAAUCAAAAACUUAGAUUAAGAAAACUAAAUGAAUAACAACAGUAAG
rnacentral:misc_RNA from 1 species